rnacentral:snRNA from 1 species
UGGUUUCUCUUCAAAUCGUAUAAAUCUUUCACCUUUUACUAAAGAUUUCUGUGGAGAUGGAGUCCUGCU